GCAGAAUAGUCACACUGGUCACACUUGUUGGGUUUUUCUCCUGUGUGUGUUCUCAUAUGUUGAGAUAAGGUUGACUUGUAAGCUGCCCUAUAGCCGCACUCCCCGCACAUGUAGGGUUUCUCACGAGUGUUUGCUUUCGGUUGACUGACCAAACUGGUUUUGCUCGCUGUUGGCUGAUCUUUGGUUUUACUUGGAUCCCGGUCACAUAGAAAUCCAGUAGGAGACCCGUCGGAGAAGUUCUGAGGAACAGCAGUAGGAGACCCAUUACCUGCCUCUGCCAUGUU